GGUCAUAGUGAUCCGGUGGUUCUGAAUGGAAGGGCCAUCGCUCAACGGAUAAAAGGUACUCCGGGGAUAACAGGCUGAUACCGCCCAAGAGUUCAUAUCGACGGCGGUGUUUGGCACCUCGAUGUCGGCUCAUCACAUCCUGGGGCUGAAGUAGGUCCCAAGGGUAUGGCUGUUCGCCAUUUAAAGUGGUACGCGAGCUGGGUUUAGAACGUCGUGAGACAGUUCGGUCCCUAUCUGCCGUGGGCGCUGGAGAACUGAGGGGGGCUGCUCCUAGUACGAGAGGACCGGAGUGGACGCAUCACUGGUGUUCGGGUUGUCAUGCCAAUGGCACUGCCCGGUAGCUAAAUGCGGAAGAGAUAAGUGCUGAAAGCAUCUAAGCACGAAACUUGCCCCGAGAUGAGUUCUCCCUGACUCCUUGAGAGUCCUGAAGGAACGUUGAAGACGACGACGUUGAUAGGCCGGGUGUGUAAGCGCAGCGAUGCGUUGAGCUAACCGGUACUAAUGAACCGUGAGGCUUAACCUU
rnacentral:rRNA from 1 species